rnacentral:rRNA from 1 species
UACAGAGGUCCCAAGCGUUGUUCGGAUUUACUGGGCGUAAAGGGUGCGUAGGCGGUGGGGUAAGUUUGAGGUGAAAGCUCCGGGCUCAACCCGGAAAAUGCCUUGAAAACUAUCCGGCUAGAGGGUUGGAGGGGAGACUGGAAUUCUCGGUGUAGCAGUGAAAUGCGUAGAUCUCGAGAGGAACACCAGUGGCGAAGGCGGCGAUCUGACCCAACACUGACACUGAGAACCCAAAAGCGGUGGGGAUCAAAACAGGA